UCGAAACCUGCAAAGUAAACCCGCGAACACGUUCUCAACAUGUUUGGGUUCGCACCGUUGGAUGCCUUGUUGCAUCCCCCGUUGCGUUCUCUUUCUCGACGAUGCACGCUUGCGUGGGUCGUUCGGGUCAACUAACACCCCGGCGCGGAAUGCGCCAAGGAAAACUAUCACGAGAAUGCAUGCUCUUGUAAGGCAUCGUUUGCGGUGCUAUCACGGGGGAAUGUGCCUCUUGAAUCACUAAAUGACUCUCGGCAACGGAUAUCUUGGCUCUCGCAUCGAUGAAGAACGUAGCGAAAUGCGAUACUUGGUGUGAAUUGCAGAAUCCCGUGAACCAUCGAGUCUUUGAACGCAAGUUGCGCCCGAAGCCAUUAGGUUGAGGGCACGCCUGCCUGGGCGUCACGCAUCGCGUCRCCCCYUCCCACUCCACUCCUUUGUGAGUGUGGGUGGAUUUGAGGGGACGGAUAUUGGCCUCCCGUGCUCUUUUUGUGCGGCUGGCUUAAACUUGAUUCCUCGUCGAUGGAUGUCACGAUUGGUGGUGGUGGUUGAAUCAAUCGCAUGCUGUCGUGCAAGACUCUGUCUGACGGUGUACAUCAUUACAGACCUAACAGCGCAAUGCGCUUUCGACU
rnacentral:rRNA from 1 species